GAUGAACGCUGGCGGCGUGCCUAAUACAUGCAAGUCGAGCGAACGGACGAGAAGCUUGCUUCUCUGAUGUUAGCGGCGGACGGGUGAGUAACACGUGGAUAACCUACCUAUAAGACUGGGAUAACUUCGGGAAACCGGAGCUAAUACCGGAUAAUAUUUUGAACCGCAUGGUUCAAAAGUGAAAGACGGUCUUGCUGUCACUUAUAGAUGGAUCCGCGCUGCAUUAGCUAGUUGGUAAGGUAACGGCAUACCAAGGCAACGAUGCAUAGCCGACCUGAGAGGAUGAUCGGCCACACUGGAACUGAGACACGGUCCAGACUCCUACGGGAGGCAGCAGUAGGGAAUAUUCCGCAAUGGGCGAAAGCCUGACGCAGCAACGCCGCGUGAGUGAUGAAGGUCUUCGGAUCGUAAAACUCUGUUAUUAGGAAAGAACAGAAGUGUAAGUAUCCGUGGAUAUCUUGACGGUACCUAAUCAGUAAGCACCGGCUAACUACGUG
rnacentral:rRNA from 1 species